GAAACUAAAGAUGAGAGAAAGGAAGUCACUUUCCCAAGCCUGUCUUCCUAGAUGACCCCGUUAAAUAUUAUCUCCAGAAACUACUAAACAGGUACAUAUGGCCUCCCAGACCCCAGGAGUCUGCAGCCUGCAUUUCCAAGAGGCCACUGCAGAGACUUCCACAGCACCUCUGUUUGUCUAAUGACAUGGGCACCAGAUUCCACACUUAUUUCACAUUCAGCAGUACAGCUCUGCACACAGAAAGUUGUCGUCCAUCUGAAAUGAGAAUGGAUGCUCUUUGCAGCUUUUUGCCUGGUGAGAUCUUUGUACAAAAGCCACCGGAUGACUGUGCUAAUGCAGCCGACUCUCCACGUGUGGGUGUGGCUGAGAAGAUGAAAGGGGC